UUUACUUACCCCUGCAAAUAGGAGGUGACGUCCAUGUUCCAUUUUCCAGGCAAACACUCCUCAGGGAGCCUUCCAGCAUGUAUCCACUGUAACACGAGUAGGUGAUCAUGUCGCCAUAUUGAUAGUCAACGCCUCGUGCAAUCGCAUUUUCUACAUGCACUGGAGGACCGCAUGAGAUUUCUGCAGCAAAACAGAACAAGUCUGAGAAAAUACAAGGACUGAUGACGACAACAGUCGUGCUUAGCACAAGUGUGUAACACAUUUCAGCACCUGUUUCAAGCAAUUUUAGCUUUCCUGAUUUUAAACUGGACCAAAAGAAGACUUUGUGCGUGAGGCAUACUUCAUCUGAAUCUUCAAGGCUCUUACUACAUUCCUGUGCACGAACAGGAAAGCAGAACUCCUCCAGACUACACCAGGCACGGGGAUAUUACUUUCAUUCAGAUGUUUGCAAACAGCUGAGGCUGGACUGAAAUCAAAUCAUGGGAUGCAGACAGUUCUACUGGUCUGGACUGCCUUGGAUGAUAUACCCAGGACUGCAUGUGUAAGUUACCACAUUUUCCUCCAAAGAGCUGCUCUCACUGAUGGAAGCAUUUGGGAUGGUUGGAGGAGAACCACAAGAAUGUUCACAGUGUGGGAAGCCAGAGCUCCACUGGUCAUUGGCUUCACAAAUGAUUUCAGAAAGUCCCAGAAGCUUGAAACCUUUGAAACACUGAAUCUUGAU